GACGAACGCUGGCGGCGUGCUUAACACAUGCAAGUCGAACGGAAAGGCCCUGCUUUUGUGGGGUGCUCGAGUGGCGAACGGGGGAGUAACACGUGAGUAACCUGCCCUUGACUUUGGGAUAACUUCAGGAAACUGGGGCUAAUACCGGAUAGGAGCUCCUGCUGCAUGGUGGGGGUUGGAAAGUUUCGGCGGUUGGGGAUGGACUCGCGGCUUAUCAGCUAGUUGGUGUGGUAGUGGUUUACCAAGGCUUUGACGGGUAGCCGGCCUGGGAGGGUGACCGGCGACAUUGGGACUGAGAGAGGGCCCAGACUGCUACGGGAGGCAGCAGUGGGGAACCUUGCGCAAUGGGCGGAAGCCUGAGGCAGCAACGCCGCGUGCGGGAUGACCGGCUUCGGGUGGUAAACCGAUUUCGAAGGUGAUGAAGCGUGAGUGACGGUAAUGGGUAAAGAAGCAACGGCUAACUACGUG
rnacentral:rRNA from 1 species